GACGAACGCUGGCGGCGCGCUUAACACAUGCAAGUCGAACGGAAAGGCCUGCUUUCCCUUGUGGAUUGCGGGUACUCGAGUGGCGAACGGGUGAGUAACACGUGAGUGAUCUGCCCCCAACUUGGGUAUAAGCCUGGGAAACUGGGUCUAAUUCCCGAUAGGACUGCAGGGUGGUGCCUGUGGUGGAAAACGAUUUUCUAGUGGUUGGGGAUGAGCUCGCGGCCUAUCAGCUUGUUGGUGGGGUAAUGGCCUACCAAGGCGGCGACGGGUAGCCGGCCUGAGAGGGUGGACGGCCACAUUGGGACUGAGAUACGGCCCAGACUCCUACGGGAGGCAGCAGUGGGGUAUAUUGCACAAUGGGCGGAAGCCUGAUGCAGCGACGCCGCGUGGGGGAUGACGGACUUCGGGUUGUAAACUCCUUUCGACCGCGAGGAAGCCACCUGGUUGGAAGGGUGGUGACGGUAGUGGUAGAAGAAGCACCGGCUAACUACGUG
rnacentral:rRNA from 1 species